rnacentral:tRNA from 1 species
GGGCCGGUAGCUCAGCCUGGCUAGAGCGUUCGGCUGAUAACCGAAUUGCCUAGGGCAAGGUAAAGGUCGUGGGUUCGAAUCCCAUCCGGCCCACCA